GACGAACGCUGGCGGCGUGCUUAACACAUGCAAGUCGAACGAAGAGCGACGGAAGCUUGCUUCUAUCAAUCUUAGUGGCGAACGGGUGAGUAACGCGUAAUCAACCUGCCCUUCAGAGGGGGACAACAGUUGGAAACGACUUCUAAUACCGCAUACGAUCUAACCUCGGCAUCGAGGAUAGAUGAAAGGUGGCCUCUACAUGUAAGCUAUCACUGAAGGAGGGGAUUGCGUCUGAUUAGCUAGUUGGAGGGGUAACGGCCCACCAAGGCGAUGAUCAGUAGCCGGUCUGAGAGGAUGAACGGCCACAUUGGGACUGAGACACGGCCCAGACUCCUACGGGAGGCAGCAGUGGGGAAUCUUCCGCAAUGGACGAAAGUCUGACGGAGCAACGCCGCGUGAGUGAUGACGGCCUUCGGGUUGUAAAGCUCUGUUAAUCGGGACGAAAGGCCUUCUUGCGAAUAGUGAGAAGGAUUGACGGUACCGGAAUAGAAAGCCACGGCUAACUACGUG
rnacentral:rRNA from 1 species